GAUGAACGCUGACAGAAUGCUUAACACAUGCAAGUCAACUUGAAUUUGGGUUUUUAACUUAGGUUUGGGUGGCGGACGGGUGAGUAACGCGUAAAGAACUUGCCUCACAGCUAGGGACAACAUUUGGAAACGAAUGCUAAUACCUAAUAUUAUGAUAAUAGGGCAUCCUAUAAUUAUGAAAGCUAUAAGCGCUGUGAGAGAGCUUUGCGUCCCAUUAGCUAGUUGGAGAGGUAACGGCUCACAAGGCGAUGAUGGGUAGCCGGCCUGAGAGGGUGAUCGGCCACAAGGGGACUGAGACACGGCCCUUACUCCUACGGGAGGCAGCAGUGGGGAAUAUUGGACAAUGGACCGAGAGUCUGAUCCAGCAAUUCUGUGUGCACGAUGAAGUUUUUCGGAAUGUAAAGUGCUUUCAGUUGGGAAGAAACAAAUGACGGUACCAACAGAAGAAGUGACGGCUAAAUACGUG
rnacentral:rRNA from 1 species